UACGUAGGUGGCAAGCGUUGUCCGGAAUUAUUGGGCGUAAAGCGCGCGCAGGCGGUUUCUUAAGUCUGAUGUGAAAGCCCCCGGCUCAACCGGGGAGGGUCAUUGGAAACUGGGGAACUUGAGUGCAGAAGAGGAGAGUGGAAUUCCACGUGUAGCGGUGAAAUGCGUAGAGAUGUGGAGGAAGACGAGUGGCGGAGGCGAGUCUCUGGUCUGUAACUGCCGCGGAGGCGCGAAAGCGUGGGGAGCGAACAGG
rnacentral:rRNA from 1 species